GAUUCCCUUAGUAACGGCGAGCGAAAAGGGAACUGUCCAGCGCCAAGUCUUGACAUUUAGGUGUUCAAGAGAUGCGGCGUUAAUGUGUUGGUGCAUCGUGCAUUGUUCCACAUUUCAAGUUCCUUUGACAGGGACAUCCAGAGCGGGUGCUAGGCCCAUAGAGAUGAGGAACCAGUGUACGCCAGCCAAUGCAUUCUAGAGUCAGGUUGCUUGAGAGUGCAGCUUAAAGUCGGUGGUAAACUCCAUCUAAGACUAAAUAUUACAGCGAGACCGAUAGCAAACAAGUACUGUGAAGGAAAGUUGCAAAGCACUUUGAAGAGAGAGUUCAAUAGUACGUGAAACCACUGGCAGGCAAACGGAUGGAACCACGAAGUUGCGCCUCGGUCGAUUCAAUCAACGCUUCGGGUUGGCUGUGUCUGUCAAGGGUCUUUUCGGAGGCUGGACAGAUGCCGUCUGCAACCUGAGGCAUUGGUGCAUUUCGUGCCGAGGAAGCUAAGCCACGUUCGACUAGAGUUGGGACGGCCGUAGGAAAGGGUCUGAGAAAGGUUCCCGUCAAGUGCUUGCAUUUGACGGCGUUAUAGUCUCGGAUCGGAACCGUCGCCUAACAAACUGGUCGAUGUAAAUUCUCCGAAAGGAGUUAAACUGUAUCUGCCUGUGGCUGCUAGUAGGUGUCUAGAGGCGCGCUUUACGUAUCUUUUGGUGCGAAAAGACGUCACGACAAUGCUUGCUAGUAGUUGCUUGCGUGAUAUGGUGGAACUGUGGCGCGAGUAGGUCGGUCUCCAUCCGACCCGUCUUGAAACACGGACCAAGGAGCCUACCAUAUACGCGAGUCGCACGGUCUUGUUUAGGCCUGUGAGGCGAAAUGAAAGUAAAGUUAUGAGACUUCGGUCGCAAUAACGGCCCGCCUACUUCGUUUAUUUGGCGAUCAGGCGGAGCUGGAGCGUAUACGGCGGUACCCGAAAGAUGGUGAACUAUGCCUGGGCAAGACGAAGCCAGAGGAAACUCUGGUGGAGGUCUGUAGCGAUUCUGACGUGCAAAUCGAUCGUCAGACCUGGGUAUAGGGGCGAAAGACUAAUCGAACCAUCUAGUAGCUGGUUCCCUCCGAAGUUUCCCUCAGGAUAGCAGGCGCUUGUUAUAAUCAGUCUCAUCCGGUAAAGCUAAUGAUUAGAGGUCUUGGGGCUGAAACGGCUUCAACCUAUUCUCAAACUUUAAAUGGGUGAGAUGGUUGACUUUCUUGAUUGAAGCCAACCAUUUGGAUGUAAGUGCCUAGUGGGCCAUUUUUGGUAAGCAGAACUGGCGCUGUGGGAUGAACCAAACGUCGAGAUAAGGUAUCAAAUGCGCACGCUCAUCAGACCCCAUGAAAGGUGUUGGUUGCUAUAGACAGCAGGACGGUGGCCAUGGAAGUCGGAAUCC
rnacentral:rRNA from 1 species